AUUAGGGUUUCUUCUUUUGUU
rnacentral:sRNA from 1 species